GAAAGUAUUAUUCUAGUAGCACUGUCCAUCGUAUUAUUAGUAGUCAGUACGAUCAACAAUAACUAUAUUUAUUUAAUAUUAUAUAUUAUCUAACUAAGAGACAUGUAUAAUAUAAUAGUAUUAAUUAUACAAUGUAUGUUUCUUAUAAUUUGGACCAAGAUGAACAAAAGUUUCUUCCAAGAAAAUAAAAAAAAAAGUGGCAGAUCCAAAAAAAGGGGGGG
rnacentral:lncRNA from 1 species